GAUGAAGAACGUAGCGAAAUGCGAUAAGUAAUGUGAAUUGCAGAAUUCAGUGAAUCAUCGAAUCUUUGAACGCACAUUGCGCCCCCUGGUAUUCCGGGGGGCAUGCCUGUUCGAGCGUCAUUUCACCACUCAAGCCUCGCUUGGUAUUGGGCAACGCGGUCCGCCGCGUGCCUCAAAUCGUCCGGCUGGGUCUUCUGUCCCCUAAGCGUUGUGGAAACUAUUCGCUAAAGGGUGUUCGGGAGGCUACGCCGUAAAACAACCCCAUUUCUAAGGUUGACCUCGGAUCAGGUAGGGAUACCCGCUGAACUUAAGCAUAUCAUAAGCGGAGGA
rnacentral:misc_RNA from 1 species